rnacentral:rRNA from 1 species
CUACGGGGGAGCAGCAGUAGGGAAUCUUCCACAAUGGACGCAAGUCUGAUGGAGCAACGCCGCGUGAGUGAAGAAGGUUUUCGGAUCGUAAACUCUGUUGUUGGAAGAAAAGGACGUUAGUAACUGAACGUCCCCUGACGGUAUAACCAGAAAGCACGGCUAACUACGUGCCAGCAGCCGCGGUAAUACGUAGGUGGCAAGCGUUGUCCGGAUUUAUUGGGCGUAAAGCGAGCGCAGGCGGUAAGUCUGAUGUGAAAGCCCCCGGCUAACCGGGGACAUGGAAACUGCUUGAGUGCAGAAGAGGAGAGUGGAAUCCAUGUGUAGCGGUGAAUGCGUAGAUAUAUGGAGAACACCAGUGGCGAAGGCGGCUCUCUGGUCUGUAACUGACGCUGAGGCUCGAAAGCGUGGGGAGCAAACAGGAUUAGAUACCCUGGUAGU